CAGUCGCCGCGGUAAUACGAAGGGUGCAAGCGUUACUCGGAAUUACUGGGCGUAAAGCGUGCGUAGGUGGUGGUUUAAGUCCGUUGUGAAAGCCCUGGGCUCAACCUGGGAAUUGCAGUGGAUACUGGGUCACUAGAGUGUGGUAGAGGAUAGUGGAAUUUCCGGUGUAGCAGUGAAAUGCGUAGAGAUCGGAAGGAACAUCUGUGGCGAAGGCGACUAUCUGGGCCAACACUGACACUGAGGCACGAAAGCGUGGGGAGCAAACAGGAUUAGAUACCCCGAGUAGUCCCUGUCUCUUAUA
rnacentral:rRNA from 1 species